GGCUGUAAACACUACUUGAAAGUGAAGUCCAUCAAACAAAUGCUGCUGAUGCUCACAUAAGGAUGUUCCUUUUGUCUCUUUCCGUCUCUGUCGCCGACAAGCUGAAGCACAAAGGCUUCUCACAUGUGCCUAAGGGGAAACAGAAUGACACUGCAGUGGAAACUUGGCGAAGUGCAAAGAUAAAAGUGAAGAGUUUCAAGACCCACUUGACUGACCCCGAAGUUCUUCCUAGCACUCUUGACAGGAUGCGAAGAAAUAAAGAGGAAGCUGUCAAAAGCACAUAUAAUGGAGUCCACCUCUGCAUCUUCUGAAGGAUCUUUUUUUUUUAUAUUUUGUGAGUGAUAGAAGUGAGCGGUUGCACUCAGUGGACCCUAAGCAGGCACAUGCAUUGUUAUGUGAAAUGGAAGCAAUGAAAGGCGCCUGCACAUAAUGUGUAAUUACACCUCCUGGGUUUUAAUCCUGUUUUCUAGCAGUGUGAAAAGUACUGUAUGAGUUAUUUUACAUGCAAAUGCUCUGAUUUGAAAAGU